ACGGGGUGCAGCAGCGCGAAACCUUUACAAUGUGCGAAAGCAUGAUAAGGGAACUCCGAGUGCAGUAUCUAAUACUGGCUGUCUUGUGCUAAAACGCACAAGAUAGCAAGGGCCGGGCAAGACCGGUGCCAGCCGCCGCGGUAACACCGGCGGCCCGAGUGGUAGCCGUUUUUAUUGGGUCUAAAGGGUCCGUAGCCGGCUGAUAAGUCCUUUGGGAAAUCUGACAGCUUAACUGUCAGGCUUCUAAGGGAUACUGUCAGGCUUGGGACCGGAAGAGGUAAGGGGUACUCCAGGGGUAGGAGUGAAAUCUUGUAAUCCCUGGGGGACCAUCUGUGGCGAAGGCGCCUUACCAGAACGGGUCCGACGGUGAGGGACGAAAGCUAGGGGAGCAAACCGGAUUAGAUACCCGGGUAGUCCUAGCUGUAAACGAUGCUCGCUAGGUGUCAGACACGGUGCGACCGUGUUUGGUGCCGCAGGGAAGCCGUUAAGCGAGCCACCUGGGAAGUACGGUCGCAAGGCUGAAACUUAAAGGAAUUGGCGGGGGAGCACUACAACGGGUGGAGCCUGCGGUUUAAUUGGAUUCAACGCCGGAAAACUCACCGGGUGCGACAGCAACAUGUAGGUCAGGCUGAAGGUCUUACCUGAAUCGCUGAGAGGAGGUGCAUGGCCGUCGUCAGUUCGUACUGUGAAGCAUCCUGUUAAGUCAGGCAACGAGCGAGACCCGCGCCCACAGUUGCCAGCAUGUUCUCCGGAACGAUGGGUACACUGUGGGGACCGCCGCUGCUAAAGCGGAGGAAGGAACGGGCUACGGUAGGUCAGUAUGCCCCGAAUCUCCCGGGCUACACGCGGGCUACAAUGGUUGGGACAAUGGGCACCUACCCUGAAAAGGGACGGUAAUCUCCGAAACCCAACCGUAGUUCGGAUUGAGGGCUGUAACUCGCCCUCAUGAAGCUGGAAUCCGUAGUAAUCGCGUUUCAACAUAGCGCGGUGAAUACGUCCCUGCUCCUUGCACACA
rnacentral:rRNA from 1 species